ACACGAGCUCUUCUGAUGUAUAUAUUUGAGCUUGUAUGUAUAAUUUUAACCCUAUGUGGAUUGGAGAAGAUCCUAAAUAAAUUCAGACUUGUGCACCCAAUCCUUGUUUUUCAAAGUCAUUAAUGGUACAUGUA